GGGGGGGGGGAGAGGAAUGUGGAUAUGUUUGUCUGAAGGUUUGAGACUGUGAUAAAGCUAUGUGAUCGGCGAUUAUAAUGAGCACGCAAUUUUUAUCGGCUAUAUGUAGCUCUUAAACACCGGAACGUUUAUGUAACAGCAAUAAUUAUACGUCCACGUAACUCGUAAGCAAAAUAAGCGGCCCACUUUUGCAUGCAUGGCCACCAAAAACUAACUCGCUGUAACAGCGUAUCCUGCAUGUUGAGAAUGAGUCGAAAAUUGACAC
rnacentral:lncRNA from 1 species